UUCAGGUAUUGGCAAACGAGACAUUGAAGAGAGAUUUCUGUUUCCACUUCCUGAUAUCUGUAAAAGUGGUGUCGUGAUCUGUAUGUAGAUUGAAGAGCUGCAAAAGUUUCAUACAAUUCCACAUUUUGAACACAGCAAGGAGAAUGUGAGAUUACUGUAACACAAAGAGAAAAUAAAACAUCAAUUCAC